rnacentral:rRNA from 1 species
UACGUAGGGUGCGAGCGUUAAUCGGAAUUACUGGGCGUAAAGUGUGCGCAGGCGGCAGAGCAAGUCGAGUGUGAAAGCCCCGGGCUUAACUUGGGAAUUGCGCUCGAAACUACUUUGCUGGAGUGUGGCAGGGGAGAACAGAAUUCCACGUGUAGCGGUGAAAUGCGCAGAUAUGUGGAGGAAUACCGAUGGCGAAGGCAGUUCUCUGGGCCAUUACUGACGCUGAGGAGCGAAAGCGUGGGGAGCGAACAGG